rnacentral:rRNA from 1 species
GUGGGGAAUUUUGCGCAAUGCUCGAAAGAGUGACGCAGCGACGCCGCGUGAAUGACGAAGGCCUUCGGGUCGUAAAGUUCUUUCGACAGGGAAGAAAUUGUGUAACAGUAACUGGUUAUAUAUUGACGGUACCUGUAUAAGCAGCCCCGGCUAACUCCGUGCCAGCAGCCGCGGUAAUACGGAGGGGGCGAGCGUUGUUCGGAGUGACUGGGCGUAAAGAGCACGUAGGCGGUGUUGUAAGUCAUUAGUCAAAGACUAGAGCUCAACUUUAGUAAGGCUAGUGAUACUAUAAUACUAGAGUAUCAGAGAGGAUUGCAGAAUUCCUGGUGUAGCGGUGAAAUGCGUAGAUAUCAGGAGGAAUACCGGUAGCGAAGGCGGCGAUCUGGCUGGAAACUGACGCUGAGGUGCGAAAGCGUGGGUAGCAAACAGG